AUUGGGUCACGUUAGAAAGGGUGUAAGAUUUGUUGUGUCUCUCUUUGCAAUAAAUCUUGCUGAUUGAAAAAGCUGUAACACUCACUGCUAAGGUCUGCAGCUUCACUUGUAAAGCCAGCGAGCCCACGAGCCCACAGGGAAGAAUGAAUAAGUCCAGACGUGCUGUCUUUAAGAGGUGUAACACUAACUACGAAGGUCUGCAACUUCACUUCUGACAGCGAGACCACGAACCUGCCAGAAGGAAGACAUUCCAGACACGUCUGAAUGUCUGAAGGAGCAAUCUCCGGACAUACCAUCUUUAAGAACUAUAACACUGCGAGGGUCCAGGGCUUCAUCUUGAAGUUACACCGAGAACGCACUAAUUCUGGACACAAUUUCCAUGAAAGCCAAGUGCAAAAGAGUGUCUAUAUAGCACGUGUCAUAGCCUAAAUUUUGUCCCUACUGCCAAAAGCCUAAGAGGAAAUUUGAACAGAGAGAUAUCAACAGCAUGUGCACAGAGGAGAGACCGUGUGAGGACAUAGAAGGCAAACAUCUGCAAGUCAAAGAGAGGCCUCAGAAGAAACCACACCUGUCAGUAACUUGACCUUGAGCUUCCAACUGUCAGAAUGUGGGACAAUACAUUUCUGUUGUUUAACAUUUUUGUGUUUAACCAACCCAGUUUGUAGUAUUUUGCUUCGGCAGCUCUAGCAAACAAAUAAAGCGUGUGUCAUUUUAUGUAAUAAAGGAUGUAAUAAAAUA